CCCCUGCGCUGGGGGGCGAGGUGGACGCGUGUACGCCGGCGCCACCAUCACACGUCUAGCGUAGGGGGGACGGAAAAUUUUGGGGUGGGGCGUCGGUGGCUCGUAGGGAGGGGGGUGCAAAAGGUGGGUGGUCUGGUCUGUGUGGGUGCCCGACGGCCGUUACCGCCGCCGCCGCCGCCGCCCCGUCCUAAUGACCCCCGACAAGGCCCUCCUCUGCCUCACCAUGUUGCUCUAGAAGGAGUCGCGGCAGCACGGCCCGCCGCCGCCGACCACCGCCCGCGACGGCGUGGGCGAGGCGAGGACCGACGCGUUGACGUAGCCGCCGAUGGAGGAGAUGAAGCGGUGGCCGAAGGAGACCACGAAGCAGUAGAUGAUGACCUUCGCGUUGCGGAUGUAGGGGUUUCUACGACAGGGAUGUCAUCUUCGAUACUUCUUCGUUUAUUAACAACGUAGUUUCCGAUACGGAAAGAUGACACGAGAAGGCAGGCAUAGACUCGUGUACUAACUCUCACCUACCUGUGCCACAAAGAAAGUAUAGUCGCUUCAACCAACCGGAUACAUGUAAUAGAUACACAGAGAUAUAGAGUAGAAACACCUCAAGCCUUAAAUGACCUACGUGUCUCUCAACGUACUGUAUUUCGGUGAUAUGUUCGUGGAUGUACGUUGGGUGGUGUAAAUGUUGUUCCUCUUAUGGGAUAGUGGUAAACGACCUGAUCGUAAGGUAGGUAACCUGCCCUAUGACGUUCGGUAUAGCGUGCACUAACGAGACAAGGAAGAGGGCUACGUGAAGUCCUGCGUGUAACGAGAGGAUAAGUAUCUCCGCCACACCUGCCGUUUGUAGGUGCUGACGUAGGUGCCGUUCUAGACCGGCCACUACCCGCGGCCGAUGGUGUGGUAGGUGGUGUGCUGCAUGGCCGUGUUGAUACCGGUGAUGUGGCACACCUACCUGACCGACAAACCGUGGGAGGCGCUCGGCCUCCUAGAGGAGUUCUUCCUGACUCGAGCACGCACGCUCGCGCCAGAAAGGCAGAGACAUCGUUACACUUCACAUCAUCUUUCACAACUCCGAAUUGGGAGGGUAGACAAAUAAGACGACUUUCUACAAACAACACACAAAUGCUGUCAAUCGCCACACGACAAACUCAGAGUCAGACCCGAACUACGACAAAGACGAGGGUCUCAGGUAUCACCAAACCUCUUUUAUAUUUAGGCCCACCCUCAUGCAACCUGUUCCAUACAAAGUUUACAGGAUCUUUAAGACCUUUGUUUGUGGGACCUGUUCCAUACAAAGUCAAGACCUCAUAUAUAAUACGACCUCUUCACUACAAGAUGUUUGUACACUUUUUCGUUCACUUUGUUUAUUUUAAGUGAACUCUCUAUAUUUUUUUUGGUAUAGGUCGUUACCUACUUAUCACCGU
rnacentral:rRNA from 1 species